ACCAGAGUCUCCCUGGUGCAACUUGAAGCCAUUCCCUCUAGUUCUAUUACUAGUUACAUGGGAGAAGAGGCUCAGCCCCACCUCACCACAACCUCUCUUCAGGUAGCUGUAGAGAGUGAUAAGGUCUCCCCUGAGAAUUCUCUUUUCCAGCAUAAAUAAUUCCAGUUUCCUCAGCUGAUCCUCAUAAGGUUUGCACUUCAGACCCCUCAAUAGCUUCAUUGCCCUUCUCUGGACAUGCUCCAGGGCAUUGAUGUCUUUCUUGUAGUGAGAAGCCCAAGUACUCUAGGGGUGGCCUCACAAGGGCUAAAUACAGAGGGGCUCAGUAGAGUCUUCGUAUCUGCACGCAGAUUCCCAACUUGGUGUCAUCUGCAAACUGAUUGAGGGUGAACUCAAUCUCCUCAUCCAGGUCAUUAUUAAAGAUAGUGAACAGGACGGGCACCAAUACCAAUUCCUGGGGAACACCACUUGUGACCAAUUGUCAGUUGGAUUUAACUUCAUUCACCAUCACUCCCUGGGCACGGCCCUCCAGCCAGUUCUUUACCCAGCAAAGAGUACCUGUCCAAGCCAUGGGUUGCCAGCUUCCCCAGGAGACUUCUGUGGGAGACAGUGUCAAAGGCUUUGCUAAAGUCUAGGUAGACUACAUCAACAGCCUUUCCCUCACCCACCAAGCAGGUCACUUGAUCAUAGAAGGAGAUUGGGUCGGUCAAGCCUAGUCACAUCCUUCAUGAACCCUUGUUGGCUACUCCUGAUCCCCCAGCUGUCCCACUGGGACAAUCCUCUUGGACCUUGCCGGUUGAACAGGAAUUCUGAUAGAUGAUGGAAAGCACCUUGGCAACCACCUCCACCAGCUCCCUCAGCACCCUCAGACAGAUCCCAUCCAGCCCCAUGGACUUGUGGCAGUCCACGUGGAGUAGUAGGUCUCUGUUUCUACCUGAAUCAUGAGGGGUUUAUUCUGCUCCCCAUCUGAGACUUCCAGGUCAGAGGGUAGAGUAUCCCAAGGAGUCAUUCCUCAGGUCAGUUCUUCAUACGAAAAGCAGAGUUCACAGUUCUAGUGAUUGAUUCACAGACUAAUGCUAUUUUGCUUAACUGUUAGUUUGGAUAUAAUGCUGAUGGCCUUUGGACUAGCACCCUAUCAGAAACGUUGCAAUAUGACUCAUUAAUAUAGCAAAGCCAAGAGUGUUCCAAGAAACACUUUCAGUCCAUAAGUAGAGAAUGGCAUUUCUGUAGAUUCACAGCAGAGUGUGAAGGAUUGGAAGGGAUUAGCAAAAGCCUCUAGUCCACUUUCCUGAUCAAAACAGGUCCUACUAGAGCAGACUGUUGUAAGAGGUCACUCUUUUACGCCAUUGCCUCAAAGCUUGCUGAGGGACAAGAUGAACAAUUUCAAGCAAGUCCUGACCAAGGAUUGGGAAAUUCUUUGUCUGAAGGGACAACAGAUGGACAAGGCCAGGGGCAACGAGAGAGAGAUAAGUGGCAACUAAAUGGCCAGGAAACAGUCUUUUGUGUGGACUUAUCUCAAGGGAGACAGCCAUCUCAGGGGGUGCUCACAUGACCCUUACCAAGCGCCCAGGAAUGUCACGUAGGCAGGGAAGGAGGAUAAAAGAAGCUCCAAAAAACCAUGAAGGCAGGUUUCUGACAACAGAUUCCUCAUGACCUGGCUCUCCCUCCUGGACUUGCUCUGUGCUCUACCUGCUUGCUGCCUAAGGAUGGCCCCUCUGCUGCUGCUCUCCCCUGCGAGAAGGUACCUGCCAUCAGAUCCCUCACUACGAAAGGCCUGCAUGCUGGCGGACUCUCCAGGGCCUGCUACCGGAGACCUGCUGCUUCCUCCUGGACUUCUUCCUGGACCUACUUGGUACCUGCACUCUCUUGCUGCCCAAGACCAGCCAUGCUGCUGCUGCUGCUCUUCCCCUGUGCUUUUGCCCCGGACCAUCGGAACAUUGUGCAAUGGGACAACUGCCGGAUCCUGGUGAGCCGAGGUCUGAGAAGAUUUGUAAGUCAGUGGAAUUUCUGCUUUGGAUGAAAUAACUCACGGUUGUAAAUCUAUGUGCUAGCACACUUCUUAAGCAAGAUACAGUACAGGGAAACUACAAAUAGUGUCUACGUUCCUUCUAUGUGGCUGAGAUUAGAAGACUGUUAACAAUAGAGAGUGAGUGGGAAAGUCUGGGACUGGAACGUCAAGAACAAACCGCAGAAGAAGAGAUUGAGGAGCCCAAAACCAUACUCCGCACUUGAGGUGUGGCCUUACCAGUGCCAAGUACAGAGAGAUGAUCACCUCCUCGCUCCUGCUGGCCACACUAUUUUUGAUAUUUUUUGUAUAUUUUUGAUACAGAUGAAGAUCCCAUCGGCCUUCUUGGCAACCUGGCACCCUGCUGGCUCAUUUUCAGCAAGUUGUUGACCAGCACCUCCAGGACUAUUUCUGUCAAGCAACGUGUGAACCAGCCUUCCCCAAGCUUCGAUGUUUUGUUGCUACCCAAGUGCAGCACAUGACACUUAGCCUUGUUGAAUGUCAUUUUUAUUGGAUUUGGCCCAUUGAUCUAGUCCAUCCAGAUCCCUCUGCAAAGACUUCCUACACUAAGGAAUAUUAGCAAUCCUGACUUACUCACUGUAGUCUGUGAACUUACUGAGGAUGUACUCAAUUCUCUCAUUCUGACCAUUGAUUAAAAUGUUAAACAAAAGUGGCUUAAAGAUUGAGCCCUGUGGAAUGCCACUGAUGACAAGUUACCAACUGGACUGAACUCCAUUUGCUAGAACUCUUUGAGUCUGGCCACUCAGCCACUUCUUUGCCCAGAGAACUGUACACCUGUCCAAGCUAUGUGCAGCCAGUUCUUAUUCAGGAGAAUUCCGUGAGAAACAGUUAUACACUUUGGUCAGUCAGGACUUUCCGUUCACAAACACAAGCUGACUUGUUCUGACCACUGAAUUGUCCCUUCUUUGCUGUAUGAUGGCAUUCAAGAUGAUCAGGCCUAGACUCAGUAUAUGUAGCUCCUUCUGGCAUGAAACAGGUCCAUACAUGAUUGAAGUUAGUUGUCAUAUGCCAGUUUUGUUCAUUUCCUGAUAUUCUUUUUCUCUUCACACUUCCGUGAGAAAUUUAAACCCAAAGGAUUUCUUGAAAUACUGUUCACAUCUGAAAACUGGAAGUCAAAUAAUAAAAAUAUCCUGUUUGAUAUGAGGUCAAUCAUUAACGUAGACAAGGAAAAUUCACAGAGAAGAAUGCUCAGUAUCAAUAAAUUGUCCAAACACUUUUAUAGAAUACACAAAAGUAUUUACGGGGGGGUUAUAAGGAAACAGCAAUCAUUUCUACAGUUGAUCCAUUGUUGUAAAAACGGCCAAAAGGAACAGCUGAGUGAAUAAUUUCAUCAACAUCCUUUCCUCCCCUACACACGAACAUAACUAACUGCAGUGUGUUGAGAAAGAUACUAAUUAUUCAGCCUGUGCAGUUUUGUUUAAGACAUCUGCAAAAUGGAAAUCAAUAAAACCUGAUGUUUUGGAAAAAAGAAUGUUCUAAGCUCUUUUGAACAUUUUUUUCUAACCAUAUUAACUGUGAGUAUGCAAGUUGGCAUAUCAUAUUAGAAAUGACUGGUUAGAUCAGUGAGGAAAGUGAUCUCUGUUUUUGCAGAUUUCUACAUUUGUAAAUGCAGUUUAAAAGAAGGAUAGCAUAUAAAAUUGGAAGACUUUCUUGUUUUUUUCUAAAUUAUGAAAUGAUACAUUAAAACAUAUUUUGUGGGCGCUGUUUACUACUGGGAAGGCAUGUAAUUAUUCUUUUUUUUUUUUUUAAUGAAACAUUCACUAAAUAGCUGUUAUAUUGAAUAAAUAAUACAAAACACCCAGAGAGUUGUAUCACAAUUGCAAAGUAAGCAUACUUUUGAUUAUAUUGCUUUAGAAGUGAUGAGAAAUAAAAUUGCUGAUAUUUCUCAAUAAUUAUGCGUCCCAUAGGUAUUUUCUUCUCCCUAAAACAGAGGAGUAAACAAAUGCACUGAGCCAUUACAUUUCUGUAAUGACUUGCAAAAUCUACUGCUAAGAAACUUUUUGGAAAAACUGUUGGGUAAUUGAGCAUAUUAGUCUGAAUGGAGAGCUCUGAUUCAAAAGUAUUUUAGAUCCGCUUUACGUAGUUACAGUGCAAGAGUAGAGAAUUCAGGACACUUUAAAAUCUCACAAAGAGUUACUCGUGGUAGCUGUACUUCCUUUUAAUAAAGAACAUGAUUUUCAAGGUAGUUGUAAUCAAAUAUCAUGGAUGUAAUUGAAAUGAGUUUGCAGCCUUAAGAGAUUAUUACAAGAAGUACAUUUGUAAAGAUUUAAUUCAG
ensembl:lncRNA